GCGGAGGGCCGGAUGACCGUGGCGGUGCAAGCCGUCGAGGAAAGUCCGGACUCCAUGAGGUAACGGUGCCGGGUAACGCCCGGCGGGGGCAACCCCAGGGAAAGCGCCACAGAGAACAGACCGCCCGUGUCCGCACGGGUAAGGGUGAAACGGUGGGGUAAGAGCCCACCGGGGGACUGGCAACAGGACCCGCAUGGCAAGCCCCACCGGGAGCAAUGCCGAAUAGGGAUCGCGCGCGGGGGCAACCCCGCAGGGCCACCUUGCCCCAGCAGAUCCGGGUAGGCAGCUAGAUCCGGCCGGCAACGGUCGGGGCAGAUGAAUGGUCAUCCAGCCGCGCAAGCGGUGGACAGGAUCCGGCUUACAGGCCCUCCGCGCGC
rnacentral:RNase_P_RNA from 1 species